GAUGAGAACGUAGUGAAAUGCGAUAAGUAGUGUGAAUUGCAGAAUUCAGUGAAUCAUCGAAUCUUUGAACGCACAUUGCGCCCUUUGGUAUUCCUUAGGGCAUGCCUGUUCGAGCGUCAUUUAAACCUUCAAGCUCAGCUUGGUGUUGGGUGACUGUCCGCCGCCUCCGGGCGGUCGGACUCGCCUCAAAUUGAUUGGCGGCCGGUACUUUGGCUUCGAGCGCAGCAGAAACGCGAACUCGAGGCCGUCGUCCUGGCUCCCAGAAGCUAUCUUCACAAUUUUGACCUCGGAUCAGGUAGGGAUACCCGCUGAACUUAAGCAUAUCAAUAAGCGGAGGA
rnacentral:misc_RNA from 1 species